CUUUUUGUUUCAAGGCGACGUGCCCUUGUUUGCUGUUGCCACGCUGGCAUUGCGGGUCAGGAGACCUGCCCAAACAGACCAUUAUUGGGUGGGGAGAUAAAAGCUUCUCUACUCACUGCGGCGCUGCUCUCCUCAAUCCCCUGCACCAGCAAUCAUGUGUCAAAAACCUGAAUGUUUUAAGAGCUGACAUGGCAUUGGAGAAUAAUUUGAUUGGGUGUGAGGUGAGGAGGUACAACGCACUGUUAACGGUUAUAUUGCAUAGGAUUCAAGUUAGUACAUGUCUGAGGAAUCUAAGGUUGAUUUUGAAUCACAAGUUGAGAGACGGUGAUGCACGGCAAAAGGGAUCGUGGGACCCUCGUGCAGAGGAGUUCGAUCAGUGUCAAAUCAAAAAUGGGAGGAGUCAAGCCCCCCCCCCCAAAAUGGAUUCGACUCAAUCAGAUGAGAUCAAACGGCACUCCGAUGAUGAAAACUAAGCAUUGCGGAAUCAACACGUGAGCACGGCGGCCGGGCCCCACCUCCUCCACUGUCGCACAGAUAGAUCUUUUGGAUUGAAAAGUGUUGCAGGCAGAGGUGUCCGAGAUUCCGUCGAAAAUGGAAAUGACCGAGUGUCAUUCUCUCUCUUUUUGUCACUAUUGCAUUGGCUGGUUUUCAUCUCAAAUGCACAGUUUGACGCUUAGGUGACUGCUAUGGGAUGAUUUUUGGCGAUGGCCUUCAGGAUAAUUAGUCAGGUAAGUGCCUUUGCUCUGCUUUGAUUAUUACCGCUUCUGCUUGGCCCACGUUUUUUCCAUUAUUAGAUUACUUGCUUUACUUACUAUCUAAUUACCUUCUUUUAUGUUUAUCCAAGUUCAUAUGAUCACAUGUCACAACAAACUUGCGAAUAUAUAUAUAUGAUUUACGAACAAAUUACUCA